AUAUCCAUAUUGAGUUGAUAAAACCGUUUCUAUUAUCUAUCUUAACCCAAAGCAGUCUCUUGUAUCAUAACAAACAUAUAAAAACCCAAUCCAAUUUAAGAUAAGAGGUUAUUGAGUCGGCCUCUUGCUUCGUUUUGGUUUGUUUCUUAUUUUCAGUCAGUUAUUUUUCUUCUUCUUUUUCCUAUGUCAUUGUACAUUGUGUUUUAACCAGCAAACUGAUAUAUGUUUGUUGUCGUAGAAGUUCGUCUCUUUCUGUUCUGAAAUUGUGAUUGUCCCAAUAUUUUGAUGGCUUAGUUUGCUGAUCUGCUUUCUUGGUAAUCAUAAGCUAUAGAUAUGGAUGUAGUAAAUGUCGUUUGUGAGGAUCUUCAGAAAAUUUGUUCAUGUUCUCAUUGAUAUGUUGUUCAUAAUGUCAGCCAUAUUAAUAUGUCAAAUUAUGUGUGUUUGUAGGUGAUUGUUUAGAGCAACAGACUAAUUUCACUGUUGUGACUGAAAGUACUAUCUAAGAGAAGUGGUCUGCUCAUUAUUUUCUUUCUUUCAUUCUUUCUAUGGUAUUGUUUGGAUCUGCUCAUUCAAUACAUCCCCUAAUUCUGAGAGCACCCUAAUAAGACUAAUUUUGUUGUGAUUUCAUGCCUUAUACCAAACACGAUUAGUCUGUGUUUGGUUCGAAUAUUAUUCAGAGAUCGAAGGUUUGGAAGUUUUUCUUGCUAGAUUAAAGCAUGUGGAAAUUUUCUUUUGGUUUCUGGUUAGAUUAACCUUUGUGUUUUAUGCAGUGAAAGGGACUGUGGUAUUUUGAUUUCUGGUUUUGAGUUUAUGCAAAAGAAUUUUGGCACCAUCUUUCUGCAGCUGUUCCUUUGCCUAUUGCUCAGUGUCGUCUUGCUUGCUUAUUCUUAUUCAGUUAUAAAUGAUUUUAGGAGCAGUUUGCAGCUAGAUUAUUCAACUGUCUUGAAUUCAGGUUGAAAAAGAGUGGGAGCGUUUCUCAGUUCGUGUAUAGAUGAGGAAAUCUAAAUUCAAAUCACAGCCAUUAACAAGGGUGAAAAUUUGGGUUGUGAUUUUGCUUCUUAAGGUUGAAAUGUUUUGAUUGAAUUGUUCACAGAUUGAAUUUGGUUUUUUAUUUAUUUAUGUAGUGUGUGCUUAAUCUAGAAGUUGUACAUAUUAAGGGAGUGGGGACUUGCUUAAGAAUCAUAAGCAGCUAUGUCUUUGUUCAUUUCUAGGUUCAGAGAUUUAA